UCAGGAAAUGGAAGCUGCCCUUUACAUGGACCCCAAUUUGUUUGGGGAAACCCUAAUGCAUAUCACCAUCCUCAUGCUCCAGGACCCAUGAUGUGGUCAAGCUCCCCAUCGUUUGUUAAUGGUGUUCACAGUCGACCCCCUCAAUUGCAUGGAUUUCCUCGUGCUGAUGGCCACCUCGUAAACCCUGUUCUUUCUCUUCAUCAUCACCAUGUGGGUUCAGCACCUGUUAUGAAUCCCUCCCUUUGGGACAGAAGACAUGGUUAUACAAAUGAAUCAGCCGAUGCUUCUGGAUUUCACCCAGGUUCUCUUGGAAGUGUGGGCUUUGCUGGGAGCUCUGGUUUGCAUCCCAUAGAUCUCGCUGCUCAUAACUUGCUUGGGCAUCAUGGUGCAAACAAUAUGAAUCCUUCAUUGUCCUCUCCAAAUCUAGGUUUGCCUUCUCCUCAACAUCGCCACAUGUACCCCCCAAGAAGCCCAAUGAUGGGUAUGCCUGCUCCAUUUGACAAUCCCACAGAGCGGGCUAGGAGUCGUAGGAACGAGGCAAGUUCUAAUCAAGCUGACAAUAAGAAGCAGUAUGAGCUUGACAUUGAUCGAAUCUUGCGGGGAGAAGACAUACGAACCACGCUUAUGAUCAAGAACAUUCCUAACAAGUAUGUAGGAUGGUCCUGCUAUAUACCUUUAUGACAUCCUUAAACUAAAAGCUGGGAAAGUAUACUACUUGUUAAUGGGCUACGGAAAAACCACUGUUAAUUUAGUCAUCCCUGUCCAGUGAUGAAUGGAGGUGGAGAUUGUCUCAAUCUUUCAUUGGGACCAUGCCUUGUUUUGGUGUGUCCUACUCUCUCUCCAUCGCCAUCGAUUUGAGUUAUGGCCAGUUAUGAUCAAGUGGACAAUGGUUUUUUCGUAGUAUAUUGAAUUAUAAUAUGCUUUCUUUUAAAAAUUUAGCUGAAACUCAUCUUUGUCCCUGUAAAUACUGUAAUAAGUUGGUGGCAAAAAUCCUAUUUCCAGCAUUGUCUGGACUCCAUGGGAACUGCAACUGAGACUGUACAUUAUUCAGUUUAUAGUCCUUUGUAAAAAAGUCGAAUAUAAGAUAUGUCAAAGGUUCCUUGAAAUAUUUUAUUGUUUAGAAAAUUGGUAUCUCUGCAUUCACAAAAUAUCAAAAGAAAUAAGUUUGGCUGUCUUUUCAUUGUCAUUUUUUGUAUCAGUAACUGAUCGACCAUGAUUCUGUCCAAAACUAAAAAUUUGUUAGACAUUCUAUGCAAAUCAAAGGUGAACGAGUAACAGAAAUUACUAAGUUGAUUAUUGUUACUAUGAUUUUUAUCAAAAUUAAUUAUUGUUACUCUCAUCUAGAUGUUACCUCUUUUUAUGUUGUUUUCGGGUUGCAGGCAUGUAUAUGGUAUUUUUAUGUUUGAUAUUGGAUUAUUUGAUUCUUUAUUUGGGGUUCAUCCAUAGAUACACAUCAAAGAUGUUACUGGCUGCCAUUGAUGAACGCCACCGAGGAACUUAUGAUUUCAUUUACUUGCCAAUUGAUUUUAAGGUGAGGAUUUUGUUGUAUUUACUGGUUCUCCAGGCUUUGCUCAUGGAGUAGUUUUGUUCAUCUUUAAUAAAUGGGUGGCCAUGCAACUGAUACACUAUAUUAAUCUCCUUCCUCAAGAAUAAAUGCAAUGUUGGCUAUGCAUUCAUCAACAUGACUGAUCCUAUGCAGAUCGUUCCAUUCUUUGAGGUAUGUCUUUUCGGCAGUUUCACUUUGUUUCAGUAAUGUCUUCUUGUGCAAGUGCUUGUGCGUAAAUGAUUUGUUUAUCAUUUUUACAGGCAUUUGAUGGUAAGAAAUGGGAGAAGUUUAAUAGUGAAAAAGUGGCAUCACUUGCCUAUGCGCGGAUACAGGGGAAAGCUGCUCUCAUUGCUCACUUCCAGAAUUCAAGUUUGAUGAAUGAAGAUAAACGAUGCCGGCCUAUUCUUUUCCAUUCAGAUGGUCCAAAUGCUGGUGACCAGGUAACAUGCUUUGUUCUGCCGUUACUGGAUUCCCUUUUUGCCCUUCUCCAGAUAUAGUCUGACGCUGUGGUUCGUGAUGUUUAAGGAGUUAAAAUGAAUAGGCCAAUUUGUGAUUCAUAUGCAGCAUAGUUCUUUUUGUUUUUUUCUUUGUUUCUGGUCCUGAGGAUUUUUGGUUUCACAAAUGAGCAGACCUCUCUCUCUCUCUUGCUCAAUCUUCAGGUUUGGAGUUUCUUUUUCCAAACUUGAAUAUCUAUAAGAAAGAAUGGCAAUCUUUUUCAUGAAUUAUGUUAGUUGUUUAGCUUUGGAGAUGGGAUCAUGCAUACAUAUGUUUAGACCGAGAUUCACUCGGGUAUGGUUCAAUUGGUUAGUGGUGGAAAAGAAAGGAAAGGAAAACAGAAAAUAAAUUAAAGCAUAAAAAGUAGGAGGCCUUAUUGUUUAGAGUUAGUACUGAUUGCUUGAAAAUAUUUGUUGUUGUGAUUGAUUUUUUCCUCUAUAUCUAGUCUUUUUUUUAGCUGAAUUCUCCUUGAAAGGACCGGUUUUUUAACAUGAUGUGGUUGCUGAUCCUGUUCAAUCAUCAGCUUGUCCACUUAGCUGGUUUCCAUAUUGGAGUUCAUUUUAAGCCUUCAGUUGAGUAAUGAUUUCUAAAGAGUUGAUAGAUAAAUUUUGUUACAAAAAUGUUUACUUCAUAGUGAAAAUGUUUGAAAUUUUGAAUCCCUAUCAUGGAGUGUUGCUGCUGCUCUAUUCCAUUAUCCUGGGAUUUUUGCUGCCAGUUGGAAUGGGGUCUCUUGGUAAUUCAUGUCAGCUUGUUGAGUAUAAUGAACAUGUGUUUUCCAUUGAGGAUAACACUAUUGGAAUGUCAAAAGAAAAGGACAUUUCCAUUGGAUGUUGAGACGAUGGGAACAACCACCUAUUGCUUGAUGUGCCAUCUAGGUGAAGGUCCUCAAGUUGCAAGCUUUCUGAAUAAUGGUGAGGAAGAUUUUUAAAGUAUGUAGUUUGAACAGGAAGCUAGAACAUCUAGCAUGGAUGGAUCCUAUGUCUGUGAUUUAGAGUCACGAACAUGUGGUAAAUACAAGUAACUUGAAUGGGUGUUGAGUGACUAGGCAGAGUAGGGAGAAGGAUGAUGUGUAGAGCCUGGAUAAUUUAGUAACUGCUAGGCCUGAGUAUGAUGGAGUUGUAAAGUAUGACACAUACGGUAGGAAAGGAUGAGAGAUGAUAGUGGGUGGCGAGGCCUAGGUGGGGGCAUCAGGAUAAUAGACAGUGGUGGUCAGCUUUCAUGAAAUUAUACCUGAAGUUUGUGGGGACAAAGUGAUGUUCAUGCUGAUAAAAAAUGUUGGGUACAUCAAAUGCUUCUAUCCAUUGGAUAUUUCUUGUUGAUUCCCCAUAUAUAAAACUAACCAAGUAUUCAAACCAUAAAAAAAAUUACAAGAAUCUAGCCUUUAAACCAGUAUUUUAGAAAUUUGAAUCAGGCCCUGAAUCGUCCAGUGUCCAACUCUGAUAUGCCUGUCCUACUCCGGCGAUUCCUGAGUCGGGUUGGGCUAUAUAAUACAAAUAAACUAAGGAAAACAAACUGGGAUAUUGGGGUGGUUCUAGGGUUCCUUAAACCAGAAUUGCCCACCUCCUGAUCUGGAUUUGAAUCAAGCCAGAUUCGGAUUGGUGAUUUUUCAAAACUGCUUUAAACUCAUGGAUUUUGUUUGGAUCAGUGAUUUUCGAGCACUGCUUUGAACUUCUGGAUUUUGUUGAAGAUGUGAAUUUAAGCCUUUUCAUGUCCAAACAAUCAACUUAGAUGGAAAGUAGUAUUCCACAUCCUCUUCCCAAUCAUUAUUGAUGGCAUAAACUCUCAAAUAAAGAAAUCUUCUCGUAUUUGUCACUGGAACAAUUUUUUGUGGAAUUCCCUCUUCUUUGGAGGGAAGCAUGAUCAUAAGUGGACACAUUUGGUGGCUACACAUCCAUAUCACUGAGUUAUUUGAAUCUGAAAGGUACAUACACUAAGUCAUCUGUGCACUUUUCCCAAAUUAUGGCGGAGAUGCAAACAAUAUGUUUUCAAGUAUCCUUUGUCAAUGAGGCUUCCCUAAUGGCCUCUAUAGAUGAAAUGAAGAUGGGACAUGCAUUCCAAUUUCUCAAGCGGAUGCAAGGGUCUCCUAGAUGUAUCAUUAACAAGACUUAGAUAUGCAUCUCUAUAACUUGCUCACCCAUGUUUGACAUCACCUUUUUUUGGUUCGGCUUUAUACAGCUAACACCACUAGAAUCUUGGACAUGUACACACAGAUGGCUGCUUGCAAACUUCGUAAUUUAUGAUUCGAAAGUCCUCGUAACAGUAUACACAAUGUGCAUGCAUGUUCAGGACACUUCCUCACAUGCAUGUGUGCACAGUCCUGUAUGCAGAUAAUUGCAAACAUGCAAUGAACCCUGUACAAAGUUAGUAAUGUACGGUGAAAUAAGAUCAAUCAUAAUGUCUGCAUAGCUUUUGUCUUGUAUUAUUUCUUUUAUUUCAUCUCUUUCUCAUCCAUUAAAAAAUUUAAAACAAAAUGGUUCUCUUUUUAGUACACACAUACAUACACAGAGAUAGCUAGCUAGAUUGAUAGAUCGGUUGAUUGAUUGGCAGAUUGUAAUGAUUGUCACUUUUAAUUUCACAGGAGCCAUUUCCAAUGGGUGUAAAUGUCCGAACAAGGCCAGGCAAAUCGAGAUCAAGCAGCAAUGAGGAGAUCUCUCAAGGGAGCCCUCCGACCUCUGGUACAGGGGAUGACUCUUCUAAUGGUAACGACUCCUCAAAGGAUGGAGAAUGACCCCUUGCAAGAGCCUCUCAUAAUCAAUAUCACUAACUACACAGCAAAGUGGGAACCAGAAAACCGGUAUCUUUGGACCGGUUUUCUUUUUUCUUCCUUUUUUCUCUUUUUUUUCCUCAGAAUUUGAGUAAUUACGGGUUUUGGGCUGACACAAUUUUUUGUGGGUGAGCCGAAGUUUUGAAAUAUUUUUGAUAUCAAGAGGCUGACGAGGCAGAAGACGGGUGUACAAGAGCUUGGCGUGAAAGUAUGUACAGGAGGAGUUUCAGUGGUCGGUCUUUGUUAUUUCAGUUUCUCUCUCUUCUUUUUGUGCUGUUAUUGAGGGCUUCUCUCUCCAUGUCCUCCUGUUUUAUUUUUCUUGUGUGAGAUUAGAGCCUUUGUGGUUCUGUUUUGGAGUGGAAAGAAUGAAUGUAAUAUGGAAGGGUCGGUGUAUUUUUAUGAAUUUUUGACGUGCAUCUGAAGGGUUGGGUCUAUAUGUAGUUAUAUAUUUAUGGUUGACGUGCAUCUGAAGGGUUGGGUCUAUAUGUAGUUAUAUAUUUAUGGUUCAGGUCUCUAUGGUUCAGGUCUCUUUCUCUCUCCCUUUGGUGCUUGCCCUAUGUGGAUUGAGGCCAUGUCACAUCUUUAAUGUUUCAUCCAUGCUGAAUAAAGAGUUGGUGAUGGGCGGUCACAAAAGAUCUGAUUGUCGCUCAUUUUAUCUGUUUUUCUUACUCAGAACCACUUGUUCAUAUUUUCUGAUCCUUGCCGCCUUUUAAUUUUUGUACCAUUGUAUCCGUUGAUCAAAAACCCAGGCUCAGGUCUGGGCUUGCUACGAUCAGCCCCCGGUUAGACACCAACGUAGCAGAUAUUCUUCUAUAUUUCUUUUACAGAAAUUCAGCCGACCCUUAAUGAGAGAUGCACACGAAAUCUCUGGCUUCAUUAGACUCGCCCAAAUUUUGUUGUAAUUGGGACCUGGCAAGGUCCUGGGUCAAAGUGACUUGGGCAAGUUUGAGCCGCAAGUUUGAGCCGGGAGUCGGUGAAGUGUUGAAGUUUUAUCGUAAGGGGAUUUUUUGGUUUGAAAUUCUGGAAUCCAUUUAAGCAUUACUAGACUAUUAUUUUCAAGAAAAAAAAUGGUUUCGAGUUUUUUAACAGGGUCUGGUUGUCCAAAAAUGGGGCAGUCUGUUUAAUUUUAGGACAUCUUUUUUCAAGCUCAAGAAUCCCAAUCUUAAGUUAAUGGCUAGAUUGAACAUGAUACAUCCUUAAAUUUUGGAGUAUUGAAAAUACUGUGAGAUUUAUUCCAGAGAGUAAGUCUUCAGUCUGCUUUCUUUGGGGCAUGAAAUCUCUUGACUAGAGAGAUAGAUGUAUGAGUGAGAAACAUAGUGCAUAGAGAGUUUAAAAACUCUAUCCCACAUUAAAAAUAUCGCUUCUCGAGUUGGCAGAAUUUGUGCAUAUGGACUAUAGGAUGGUAUGUUGCAUUUUAAUAGAUUGAUUGUGGGCUCUCUUGGACAUUAUAUACCAUAUUCACAUGUAGUAUGCUGUAAAUUAUAUGUGGUAUGGUUUUUUUGGUUUUUUUUUUGACGAAUAUUAACAAUCUUUAUUGGUGUCCACUUGAUCUCCAUUGCCAAUUUUUCAAUUGUGGACCGUGGGGGAUCAACCAUUCCAUUCAUAAUGAAUCGCAGAGAUUGUACUAUGGAUCCUUGAAUUUCAAUUCUUCUGUAGCUACGGAUAGAUAGCUUCUUUUGUAAAUCCGGGGGUCUAAAAAAUUGGAUCGGGCCCCGGACUCAGUUGCCUGCUUGAUCAUGCCGGAUCGGAGUUUCUUGGUCAAAUCGGACUGGUGAUUUUGAUGCAACUCGGUUGAGUCAACGAGAGGGUUAAAAAGAGAAUUGUUCGGAGCUUGAACAAAAUAAAAAGCCAGCUAUUUUUUUUUUUUAUUUAAAAUGAGAUUAUUGCAUUUUGCAUUAAAAAAAAUGAUAUCCAUUGUAGAUAAUUUGAUGAAAUUGCCGAAAAUGCUUCGAUGCGGAGAGUGUGGUUCCUGCUUGAUCAUGCCGGAUCGGAGUUUCUUGGUCAAAUCGGACUGGUGAUUUUGAUGCAACUCGGUUGAGUCAACGAGAGGGUUAAAAAGAGAAUUGUUCGGAGCUUGAACAAAAUAAAAAGCCAGCUAUUUUUUUUUUUUAUUUAAAAUGAGAUUAUUGCAUUUUGCAUUAAAAAAAAUGAUAUCCAUUGUAGAUAAUUUGAUGAAAUUGCCGAAAAUGCUUCGAUGAGGAGAGUGUGGUUCCUGUUUGAGUAGUUUGUAUUCUUCCCUUCGUGGUUUAGAUGAAAGUUUUCGCAAUGAUCAGAUACAUGGUAGAAAAAUAGAGUAAAAUACCUCUGAUUUCAUAGAAAAUCAAUGAAAAAUAAGGACACGCUUGGUUCGUAUGAAAAUUUUCUUAGAAAAUAACUAUAUUCACAAGAGUAAGAAAUCUUUUUACCUAUGAAAUUAAUUUCCAUAAAAAGUGUUUAAAAUCUAAGAAAUUGGAAUCGUACCUACAUCGUAUGUAGGUACUAUCAAAGCCCGGCCCAGCUUACAUCCUACGUAGGUACUAUCAAAGCCCGGCCCAGCCUACAUCCUUGUACUAUCUUUCAAGAAUCGUACCUACAUCCUAUGUACAAUCAAAACCCGGCCCAGCCUGGACCUACAUACUAUGUACUAUCAAAGCCUGGUCCAGCCCAAACCAACCUAAAAAGAAUAUAUUAGGCCUGGGCCUGGUUCAGCCCAUUAAGAAGUCCCCCGUUUUUUUAUUUUUUUAUGGAAAAAGUGUAUACAAGGAUGCUACCUUAUAAUGUGCAACUACGGAUGCCCCUAAAAAAUUCAUCGAAAAAGGUAGUUUUAAUGUUGAAAAACGCUUUGACUGUUUAUCUCGACAUCGAGAUGUAUGACUAUGGAAAAUAAAAAGAUUUUAAGUAUCAGAAAUAGUGCAUUUUACAACAUAUUAUCCACACCGUCCAUUUUCAAGAUUUUCAUAUGUUUAUCAAUCUACUUGAUUUUGACAAUUUUGAAACUUAAAAUUUUAUAAUUAGAUACAAAAAUAGAUUUUGAGAUAAUCCUAAAAACAUUUUACAUCAAAAUUAUACACCAUGAUAAAUUUUGAAGGUGCACUUUACCUCUACACCUACGAAUGCAUCCCUAUGCAGACUGCACCUUGUUUUUAUUUCACUCUUCAAACUAUUAUUGUUGGUAUAAGUCAAAAAUAGUUUUUAAAUUUUUUUUAAAAAUAUUGGGUUUCUAGAGGGAGAAACAGAGAUUGGGUUUUUAGAGACAGAGAGAUUGAGAUUUUAGAUAGAAAAAGAUGUAUUGGUUUCUAGAUAGAUAAUGAGUUUUUAGAGAGAGGAGAGAUUGUGUUUUUAGAGAGAGAAAGAUAUUGAUUUUAGAGAGCGAUAGAGAGAUUGGGUUUUCAAAGAGAAAGAAAUUAAUUUAUAGAGAGAGAAAAAGAACUUGGAUUCCUAGAGAAAGAAAGAGAGCUUGGAAUUUUAGAGAGAUAAGUGAGAUUGGGUUUCUAGAAAGAGGGUUUUUAGAUAGAGAAAGGGAGAUUGAGUUUUUAAAGAGAGAAUGGGUUUUAUAGAGAGAGAGAUUGGAUUUUAGAAAGAGAAUAUGUUUUAGAGAGAGCAAGAGAGAUUGGGUGUCUAGAGAGCAAAUGGGUUUUUAGAGAGAUAUUGGUUUCUACAUAAAAUGGAUUGCUAGAUAGAGAAAUAUAUAUAAGGUUUUUAAAAGAGAGAGUAUGUCUUUAGAGAGAGAUAGAUUGGAAUUUAAGAGAAAUAAAUAUUUAGAGAGAGAUAAUCGGAUUUAAAAUAGGAAAAAAGUUUGUGUUUUUAGAGAGAAAGAGAGGAUUUUUAGAGAAAAAAAGAGAGAUUGGAUUUUUAGAACGAGAGGAUCAUUUUUAAAAGGAGAAUGAAUUUCGAGAAAGAGAUAAUAGUUAGAGAGAGAAAGAUAGAUUAGGUUUUAGAAAGAGAAAGAGAUAUUGGGUUUAUAGAAAGAGAAUGAGAUAUUGGGUUUUUAGUAAGAGAAAAUGUGUUCGAGAGAUAGAGAAUGAGAUAUUGGGUUUAUAUUUUAUAGCAAUGGUUUAAAAAAUGGAUCGGUGUUUCGGAUCGGUCUCUUCAAAAACCCAUUCGUAUCGGUGAUUCAGAUCGAGAAUCGGACGAAUCAAUCCAAUUAAGUUUUAAAAAAAAAUUUGAAAAAAUUAUUAAAAAUUAUUAUAAAUAUUAUUUUUUUAAAAAUUCAAUAAAAAAUAUGAGUAUUACAUUAUCACUUCAUCUGUUUUGAUAAAGAAUUUUGAGAUGCGCUUUUCCCGUUUGAACUUAUAUUAAAUGGACGUGGGUCGCCUAUUCUCGACUCGGACGAGAUGGUUGCGUGUGGCCGAUUUUUAAAACACUGUUUUAUGAGAAAGAGACGUUGGGUUUCUGGUAAGAAAAAAUGUGUUCGAGAGAGAUGGGUUUCUAUAAAGUGAGAAUUGGUUUUUAGAGAGAUUGGGUUUAUAAAGAUCAUGCGUUUUUACUUUGGUUCAUACAUAUUUUGAGAGAUGCUCUGAUUUUAGGGAUACUCUGUCUCUGUCUCUCUUCUAUGGACAAAGUUAAAAAAUGGCUAUCUUCAUCUGAAAAUGUGAGCUUCGUCUUCAAGCGUUUCCUGAUAUCUGCAACUGGAAGUAAUCAUUCUUUCCUUUGAUGGGAUGCUUAGGUGGGUUUCUAGGAUUUCUUAUUUCCAAUCUAUAAGACUGAGGAAACCAGGGUUCAAUUCAUCCCUGUAUUCCUGUAAAUCAAAUGAAGACUUGCAAAAUGUUGAUUUGCCCUUGCCAUUGCCCAAAGCUCAGAGGAAGCCAUAUCCAACACCUAUGAAAGUCCUCAUACAAAGAGCAAAGCAGGAAAAAGAAGAGAGAAAGGCCAAUCAUUUUAGGGUUCUUCCACCCCCUGAUAAUGGUCUUCUAGUGCCAGAGCUCGUUCCCAUCGCAUACGAAGUUUACGGGGCUAGACUUAAACUUCUCGAUGGUCUCUCGAAGCUUGUUUAUGGUGUGGUUCCUGUUAAAAGAUGCAGGUAUGCUCUCUCUCUCUCUCUCUCUCUUUCUCUCUCUCUGUAUUCUCUCUGAGCUUCUGGAAUUCCUUUCAGGUUCUGCCAUGAGGUCCAUAUCGGUUCCAUUGGCUAUGAAAUAAGGACAUGCACAGGCCCCAAAAGUGGUUUCAGGAGCCAUACGCAUGUAUGGAGGAAGGGAAGAAUCGAAGAUGUGGUGGGUUUUCCCCAUUGUUUCCAUCUCUAUGAUAGAGCAGGAAGACCAAGAGUUGUUCAUGAUGAAAGAUUCAAAGUUCAGAGGCUUCCUGCCAUUGUGGAGCUCUGUAUUCAGGCUGGUCUAGACCUUGAAGAUUACCCAACCAGAAGAAGAACCAGGCCUGUUUAUAUUGCCGACGGAAGGGUUCUAGAUUUUGAGCCAUUUCAAGACAAUAACUUGCAGACCCAUGAUUCACUUUCUUAUUCCAGGCCUCCUCAUGAACACGGAGCAGAGAAUUCAAGGAAAUUGAACUGGGAGAAAAGGCUCCAAUUACCUUCAGGUGAGAGCUUACAAUGCAAUGAUCCGACCAAUAACUCGCCGACCAAUGAAUUGCUUUGUCACACUAGCCUUACUCCUGAACUUGAAGAAAAUUCCAGUUCAUUAAAAGGAUCCAAAUCAUAUCUGGGAGAUAAUUCAGAGAUCCAUGAUUCAUUCGUACGUAAUCACCUUCCUCCUGAUUUCAGAAAAGAGACUUUGAGAGAAUUCUCUGAAAAUGAGAGAUUGAAGCCAAGUUCAGCUCAUGGUUUUCAGUUAGAGUCUCGAGUAUUUGCUUCUGAAAAUGUACAAGAUGUAAGAGAAUUGAACAUUCUUUCUUGUGAAAGUGGAGAAGAGGAUGUGAGAGAAUUGAGCACUAAGACCAUGAACUCAUGGUUUAAGAUGAGGGAAGGAGCAAAGAAGCUCAUGAAGAAGUAUUCAGUGAAGACUUGUGGUUAUUGUUUAGAGGUUCAGGUCGGGCCCAAGGGGCACAAGGUGAGAAUGUGUAAGGCUUUCAAGCACCAGCAACGCAAUGGUCAACACGCUUGGCAAGAGGCAACAAUGGAGGAUUUGAUUUUCCCCAAAUAUGUGUGGCACGUUGCAGAUCCCAAUGGUCCUCCACUAAGCAACGUGUUAAAGAGGUUUUAUGGUAAGGCACCAGCCAUUGUUGAGCUCUGUGUUCAAGCUGGGGCUCCAGUUCCAGAGGAAUUUAGGGGCAUGAUGAGGUUGGAUGUGGUUUCUCCAGGCAUGGAUGAAGCUGAUCUUGUCUCUUGAAACUGUAGUCAGAGAUGUGUAGGAUUUUUUGGUGAGAAUCUUAAUUUGAGGUGGGAUUUCGAAAGUUGGAGAGUUGACGGUUUUUCCUCUGGUGUGGUUUUAGGAUUGCUCGAUCCUUUCCAUGCUUCUUUCCAUUUUGAGGACUGACUAGAAGUAUCCCCCCUUUACUGUAAUUGUUUUGUAUACUUGUAUCACCAUAGGGAACAGGUGUAAUUUAUAGAUGUUACAAGAGUGUUUUAGCUCUAUCUGUAUGUCUGCCAUUGCCCCAUUGAGGAGGGCUUGGAGCUAUCAUAAGGGAAAUAUUUUAUUUUAUGUGAAUUCUCAAUGUGUAUUUCUUGAAUUCUAUGAUCUGACCUAGUAGGACAACCAAGUUCUGAUCUGAGGAUGCAUGGAAGGUGACUAUCCACACCUUCGCAGCAAUGCUUUAAACCAAACCCAAAUUGAACUAUUUCAUGGGAAUAAUGUAGAUCUUGUGAGAUGCAAAUUUGUUUUUCACUGCUAACAUCAUCAUUUUCGGCAUUGUCCUUACAUCCCACAACAACAUGGCAAGAAGGAAAAUUUCCGUGUUAUGGGCAGGCUAAUGGCCUAAUGCCUUGCUGCUUGAAUCAAUCUCAGGUGUUUGAGUGUUCCUUGCCAAUUGAAUCAAUCUCAUGCAUUCAAGUGUUGUUUGCAGAAUUCUACACUCAAAAGUUUAAAUUGUUUAGGGCAUGCCGCCCUCCUGAUAACUCACCUUCUGGAUGCUAUGGUAUAACCCUAGCCACUUUUACUUGUCCAUUAGUUUUGAAUAAGUAUUUUGAUAAUAUAAUGGACUAAGGGAAGCUAUAAUUCAUUGGGGUCAUCACCCAUGAAUUGCGGACUGCUGAUGGAGGACAGGACCACCAAAACAGGAGAUUACCUCAAUGGUAGUCCCCACACUCUCUAUCAACAUCGAUCAUUUUAGAGAGUGGUGACCAUCCAUAGUCCCUUGAAUAUAGUAUGCUUCACUCAUUUUAAAUUCUUUAAUGGAAAAUUUACUAAAAUACUCAUAAGUGAUGAACUAUUUAAUAUUUACCCAUUUGCAACUAUUCCAACUUUCUUUCAUGGGUAUUUCGAAAUUAAACCAAAAGAUAUCUGUAAAGUGUUAAAUUUUCCAUAUCUUUCAAAAACUUUCCCUUCUUUAAUUCAUUAAAUACAUCAUUAGCUCUACCAAAGUCGUUGCCCAACCUGCAGGCUUGUUCCCACAUGGAACUUUUACACCUGGCUCUCUAGAUAACGGGGCUAUCCAAGGUCAGCAUUCCACCAUCCAAGCACCUUUAAGUCCGUACAUGGAUGCCCCAUAUCAUGGGAUCUCCUCAAGUGUUCCCCAUGCGUUAUCCUCACCGGUUGGGGUUGCUUCAGCUGCCAACCAUGACAGUAGUCUCAGUGAGCAAAGCCAUUCUGUGGGCCACAAUAUGAACUUCGGUUUUCAAGGCAUGCCAGCUUUCCAUCCUCACUCGCUUCUAGAGUAUGACAAUGGUCUCAGCAAUAGUGUUCCCUAUAAUUCUCCGGGUGCCAUAUCUGGCCUAGCUGUAAAUAUAAAUUCCGGACCAGCUGAAGGAGUUGAUGGCAGGGCAAUCCAUGCAAGGGGUUCUAAUGGCUUCAACAAUCAUUCUUAUGAGAUGAAUGAAAACCGUAGAAGAAACCUUACUCUGCUCUUUACGUUCCUUACAAGACUGAAUUGCUUUUAUCUGGAGCUUAUGAUGCGGAAUGCCUGCUUGCAUUUCUUUAGUGGAAUUCAUGAGAAACAAAGAGAAUGAUGUCUGCAUUUUUAGAGUUAGUUUUGGCAGUCAAUGCCUGGAACAGUCAUGUCUCAGUUGAAGUAGACACUAAUGAACUGGUUGCGUUAUGUUUUGGAGAUUUGUAUUUGUACUUAUAACUUGUUAGUGAUUUCUUCUAUUCAAUGUGUGAGGGGCUACUAAGUGUGUUUUAAGCCUGAUUAAGAAUGGAAUUUGCUCAGACUUUCGUGCUAUUUUUUAUUUUUUAUUUUUAAUCACAUAUUCUGUAAGAACGAAUUUUUGUUUAAAUAUUGCUUAAUCUAUUUCUUGCCUUAGGGGAAUUUUUUGAUUAAAUAUAAAGAUCUUAUACUAUCUCUUAGUCGGUGUUUCAGGAAAUGAAAGCUGCCCUUUACAUGGACCCAAUUUGUUUGGGGAAACCCUAAUGCAUAUCACCAUCCUCAUGCUCCAGGACCCAUGAUGUGGUCAAGCUCCCCAUCGUUUGUUAAUGGUGUUCACAGUCGACCCCCUCAAUUGCAUGGAUUUCCUCGUGCUGAUGGCCACGUCAUAAACCCUGUUCUUUCUCUUCAUCACCACCAUGUGGGUUCAGC
rnacentral:lncRNA from 1 species